rnacentral:rRNA from 1 species
UGCUACCUACGGGGCGCAUCAGUGAGGAAUAUUGGUCAAUGGGCGAGAGCCUGACCCAGCCAAGUCGCGUGAAGGAUGACGGCCCUAUGGGUUGUAAACUUCCUUUGUCAGGGAGCAAUUGGGUCCACGCGUGGGCUUAGCGAGAGUACCUGCAGAAAAAGCAUCGGCUAACUCCGUGCCAGCAGCCGCGGUAAUACGGAGGAUGCGCGCGUUAUCCGGAUUUAUUGGGUUUAAAGGGUGCGUAGUCGGCAUAUCAAGUCAGCGGUACACAUUCGGGGCUCAACCCCGUCGCGCCGUUGAAACUG